AGGGCCUUGUAUGCUUGCUUGUGGGUAGAAUAACAGUGGCGUCGGAGACGUGUUGAUGGAAGUUGGGCAUCAAGUGUCUUAAUGAUGUGGAAUUAAAAUCACAGGCAACCAGACAUGCAGCCUCUGGAUGUAAGUUUUCCUGCUUGUUUAUAGCCUUGUAUAGUUCAGUAAGUGCCAGCUUGUUGUUUUUCUUGUCCUGAGGAGGAAUAUAUACAACAGUCAUGAUAACAGCUGAAAACUCCCUCGGGAGGUAGAAGUGGCGCCAUUUGACCAUCAGGUAUUCCAAGACCGGUGAACAAUGGGUUGACACUUCCACUGAACUCGAGUCAGCACACCAGUUGUUGUUGAUGAAGAGGCUAACCCCUCCCCCUCUCGAUUUCUCUGACUGCACUGUCCUGUCCGCGUGGAGAAUGGAGAAUCCAUCAAGUUGGAUAGCAUUGGGGAGUAUCUUGUCCGAGAGCCAUGUUUCAGAAAAGCAGAAAAUAUUGCAGUAUUGAGAGUCCCGUUGGUGGCUGGCUUUCCCUUCGCCUAAAUCUCGCUAGGAUUCCCCCUCUCUUGCCUCUGUAACGGUGGCGUUUCCUCUUGCGUAGCCUGAAAAUGUGGUCAGAAGUACAGAAAGAGCCCUGGGCAGAUGAGUCAAAGUCAAAGUUGAAGCCAGAAUUGCGAUUACAUCUUCAAACUAAGGGCAACCAUGUUUCCACACAGAGAGGGAGAAGGAUCUGAUGAUUCUUAUGGCAUUGCACACGGUCAGUGUGAACCAGAGUGACUUGACACAAUGGGCCAAGCAAGCUGUACAAACAAAACAUAAACAAAACAGGACGUCUUAUUUAAUGAAAGGGGUUGCAGUCUGCCAUGAAGCGUUCAUCCAUGUAUACGGCAUCAGCAGAACACGCCUGACUCUCCUCCACCAGUCAUACAAGGAGAAUGGUCUGAUGCUUCCUAUCAAAAAGAGAGCUGGCCCAAACAAGUACAGGUUACACGUGAAGCACGAGGACUUAGUGUGUUGUGAACUUCAUCAUCAACUACGCAGAGGAUAAUGCAGUAGUAUUACCAGGACACCACCCAGGACACAAACCCUUUGGUGGAAAGCUGCUGCCAUCCCAUGUGACAAAAGCAGCAGUGUGGCGUCUCUACAAGGAAUCGAUGACAACACUCGGUACGUAAAGCAUAAACAAGACAUUUUGAUUAUUUAAUUGACCUCCAACAUGAUUGGCACUACUUUUAUCGAUCUCACAUUAUUUCUGUAUUUUCCGGAGGUACGUGUAGUCAUGCUGCCUUCCUUCAGGAAUCUGUGGAGAAAAUUGCUGCCCCACAUCUCAAGUGCUAAGCCCAGGAAAGACCUGUACUGACAGUGCCAGAGGAACAACUAUCAGGUCUUCAGAUCUACCAAUCUGCCAGAAGCUGUUAAAUCAGCCAAGCUGAAGAAGCAAGAGCAGCAUCUCCUGCUUGUUCAGAAUGAGUGAUCUGUCUACCAUAAGAUGGUUGCUGACUGCAAGACCACCUGUCAAGACCUGCAGUUGUCUCUGGGGGCCCCUACUGAACCAGCAAGCAAGCGAUAGAUAGAUAGAUAGAUAGAUAGAUAGAUAGAUAGAUAGAUAGAUAGAUAGAUAGAUAGAUAGAUAGAUAGAUAGAUAGAUAGAUAGAUAGAUAGAUAGAUAGAUA
rnacentral:lncRNA from 1 species